rnacentral:rRNA from 1 species
AUUGAACGCUGGCGGCAGGCCUAACACAUGCAAGUCGAACGAGUGGCGGACGGGUGAGUAAUGUCUGGGAAACUGCCUGAUGGAGGGGGAUAACUACUGGAAACGGUAGCUAAUACCGCAUACCAUCAGAUGUGCCCAGAUGGGAUUAGCUAGUUGGUGGGGUAACGGCUCACCAGGGCGACGAUCCCUCGCUGGUCUGAGAGGAUGACCAGCCAAACUGGAACUGAGACACGGUCCAGACGCCGACGGGAGGGAGCAGUGGGGAAUAUUGAACAAUGGGCGCGAGCCUGAUGCAGCCGUGCCGAGUGUAUGAAGAAGGCCUUCGGGUUGGAAAGUACUUUCAGCGGGGAGGCGUUACCCGCAGAAGAAGCACCGGCUAACUCCGUGCCAGCAGCCGCGGUAAUUC